ACCAGACUCCUACGGGAGGCAGCAGUGAGGCCUCUUGGUCAAUGUCCGUCCGGCUGAACCCGCCCAGUAGCGUGCGGGAAGACUGCCCUAUGGGUUGUAACCCUCUUUUAUGCGGGGCUAAAGGUGUCCCCGUGUGGAUGUUUGCAGGUACCGCAUGAAUAAGGACCGGCUAAUUCCGUGCCAGCAGCCGCGGUAAUACGGAAGGUCCGGGCGUUAUCCGGAUUUAUUGGGGGGAAAGGGAGCGUAGGCCGGUCUUGAAGCGUGCCGUGAAAGUUUGUGGCUCAACCAGGAGAGUGCGGCGCGAACUGGAGACCUUGAGGGCGCGGAAGGCAGGCGGAAUUCGUGGGGGAGCGGUGAAAUGCGGAGAUAUCACGAAGAACCCCGAUUGCGAAGGCAGCCUGCCGCAGCGUUACUGACGCUGAAGCUCGAAAGCGCGGGUAUCGAACAGGAGUAGAUACCCCGGUAC
rnacentral:rRNA from 1 species